CUGUUGUUGUUGGUUACAAGGUGGUGUGCACGAGCAUGCGUGCUAUCCUGUCCCCGUAAGUACCAGUGGCCCGGGCCGGUGGGCCCUUAUAACGCCGGGAAACUUACUUUGCGCAACGAAGUUAGGCGUGUUCGACUGUACUACUCAAUGCCAACUACGUCAACUGCUAGCCCGUCAGCCUAGGUGAUUAGGUGCCUCGGCACCGAAUGCCCGCCCCUCCCUUCCAUCGGGGCUUCAGCCCUGCUGCUCGAAACCCUUCGAAAGCUCCGAGUUGCUCCUUGCGCAGUGCACACCCUACGGACGUCAGGUAAGGCGCCACCACCACACCUGUGCUGCGGACCAGGCGUGCGGCCCUGAUCAAUGCGCUGCGUUCCUGGGGCGUCACCAUCACCACGACGUUCCACACCUCCCGCCCUGCCGAUUGCCACGCACGGACAUAGCGCCCGCUCACCGACGUCCCACUCGUGCUAGCAACCGCCUCUAGGUUCCCGGACGCCCGGAUGCGCUCUAGCAGCUCGCCGCUGACAGACUUCAGCAGGAUCUUGCUCUCGUCCACAGCGGCCGCAUCCCCCACGCGGGCGAGGGAGCGUUUGACGGCUUCCAGCGCAGCCCGUUGCUCCUCCACCUGUACCCGCAGCACUGCGAGGUCGUUAGCGGAGUGCUGUCGAAAUGCGAACGCGAAUGUGCGCGACACGAAGAGAAGUUGUAGUCGCUAGCACGCAUAGAAGGCCGGUUAGCAGGAGGCGGUCACAGCAGACAUGUUACCUCAUCCAGACGGUAAACGCCACGGGCAAUAGAGGAGCGCCGCCGACCCAUCACUGAUAUAACCAGGUUGCGAUGGCUAGGCUGUCGGACGGCUGGCGGGCUGGCGCGGAGCGGAGCUGCGGGGCGCGCGGCAUCCGAAACCAACCUGGAAAACACCAGCGUUGGGCCGCCGCUCCGCCGCGGGUGCGGCGGUCUGUGCCUCGUUGGCCGAGGCGUGUGGCACCGAUGCCUGCCUUGGGGCGCUAAAUACAAGUUCUGCGACCUGUAGCUCGAACUGCUCCAGCGCACGCUCGAACUCCUGAGAACAAAUUGAGGAUGCUGGGAGUGUGUCAGUGUUUGCCAGUGCGUCCACGAUCAGGCUGGUCGAGAACUGAAGCCGAAGUUUGAUGCUCCGUAACCAGUCGGCAGCGCGCUUGGAUGUGGGCUGCUCGCUCGAGUCGACGGUGCCGAUGCUCAUCGGGCUGCAAGUAGCGUGCUGUCCGGAGGCCUGCCUGUCUCCACUGCUGCUGGAACUGCUGUGAGUGUCCAGCCGACGCUCGGGUCCGCUGCUCGCCAUCUCCGGCGAGUGUCCUGAGUGCGAUAGAGACGAUUGAGGCGAUUCCUGGGACGCUCGCCACGCUGCCCUAGGUUGAUCAGCGAGUUGGGUCGUAGUUUUGUUUACACGGUGACCGUGUUUGCCCAUUUUGUGGCGGUUGUGUUGUGUUGUGUUGUAAUGUGUAGCUUCCAUUGGGCCUCUUUCCAGUGGGGACUUUAGCCAUUUAGUGGCAAACAUUUAGCGCUAAAGUCCCGCCACUGCGAACACCCCCACUUUAGUGGACAUUUAGGGACUUUAGGCACAUUUAGCCAGCCCCCGUUUAGUCGCUGCGAUUUUCGUUCUUCGUUGUUUCGAGCGCUCUCGCAGUAAACCCUUUCAUUUAGUCCCAAUUUUGCAACUCGCUGUAAGAUUAAUUCCCUUGGAGCCGCGAACUCGGCUGAGCACCCUCCAAGCUCGCCCCCCAGCCGAGCACUGCCUGGCAGAAUACUUCGGGUUGUUUACAUCGUUCCGCCAUAAUAAAUACGUACAGAUGGAUUAGAUUAACACCCCAGAGUGCGUCCCGGGCUCUCCCAGCGCAGUUUUGCAACGUUUGUUCCGCCAUCGCGCAUGUGUAUCGGGCCCGUCGGCCGAAAUGAGCUGACCCGUCAUCCCAACAGCAUUAUCCAGCAUGAGAAUAUUGUGCUGAGCACUAAGAAUCGGGUUUGAGCAUGGACGCGCGUGUGCCAAGCGGAGCGCUAAAGUCGCUGGCUGUAAACAUGAAUGCUUUAGUGCAACAUUUAGUGUCCGGUGGGACUUUAGUGAGCGACUAACCAAGGAGCCACUAAAUCCACUGGAAAGAGGCCCAUUCCCCGUCUCAGGGCAAUUAUGGGAUGCCACCACAGGCCGUUCCAUGACUUCCAUCAAGACUGGAUUAUCAGUGCAAUGAAUACAGUCAGCCAUUCCCCGUGGCCAUCCCCCGGCACUCGUCCGUGCUACGGCCCGUUGACCGGAGCGCACGUGCUGGGCCAGGCCGCCAGGGGCGCUGGGCGCCCUGCUGUGCUCGGCGCCAGGGGCAGCUGUCGCAGGGCGACAAGUGUUCCCCGGUCACGGGGAAAGGGGCUGAGCCCCUCCACAGUCUGAGGCCGAACUACCUCAUCGCCCGGACAUAGCCGGGGUCGGUUUCCACAGGCACAUACCAAACCAGGUGCCUAGCAAUCGCGAUGCCACAGCAGAGCCAACCGCAGCCAGACGCAGCACAGUUGUCAACAGCCGCACUACUUGUCAUGCCGCUACGCAUGCCCUGCCAGCCCCACCGCGGACCGCUACCGCCCCACCCGCCAGCCGGCUCCUCAGCCUGCGCGCUUGCGCCGCUUCUUGGGCGGCGCUGCGCUCUCCUCCUCCACAUGGCCUUUCCCGCCCCCCCCGCUACCAAGAUGCGCGCAUGCACCCCCGCUGCUGCCGCUGCCGCUGCCGCUGCCGCUGCCGCCACCGCCGCCGCCGCCGCCGCCGCCGCCGCCCCCAGUCUGCAGCGAUGCAGGUCGCUUGUGCCCCAGCAGCAUCUCACCAGCAGGGCGAAAAGUGGCAGUCGUUCGGUGGUUUGGCCUUUCGGGCCGCUGGUCGCUGACGACCCUGCUUGAAGCCCAUCGGCCCGAAGGACUUGACCCACCCCCACCACGCAGGCUGCGUUACGCCCCACACGUUCGGGUCCCCUCUUCUGCCGUGCCGCGCCCUGUCCUUGCCCCUGCUUGUCACACUGUCGCCCAGCCACUGCCUUGCUGCACGCUGCUCACAUUGCGUUGGUUGUCGUCGUCAGCGCUCGUACGUGGACGCCAGUCGCUGGAUUGCAGGUGGUCUGCAACCCUGCGUCGCGCACUGUGUGGCAUCGCACAUUGUCUGCGUGGUGCUAUCGCCUGGCCGGGCGCCGGGAGCGUGAGGAUUGCGCGUCAGCAAACUCUAUGAGCCAGCCAGCGCGACCAUCGGUGUAGAAACCGCGAACUCUGCGACUCUUGCUCUGACACGCCUUGUGGGGUCUGUGGGCCGGGAUUGUAGCCAUCACACUCGGGACUAUGCUUCUCAUCACCCUCUGCUCUUGCUUGUGCUAGGAAUGCAGUGACAAGGCGCCGCAAAGAUGGCAUCAGCGCACCGGCGCGCAGGACUCGCUGCAUAACCUGGCUGGCAGAGGUCGUGGACAGGCCUAAGUGCGCUGUGCGCCAGCGGCUGCGUCUGUGGCGCUUAUGCUCCUGCUGGGCAUGCUUGGACCGUAUUAUGAAGGAGACAGGACCGUACGAGGUGCACAGCCAAUCCAAGUUAGUAGCGAGUCCAACUUGGUCCUACGUCUCCGGGCACGCGAUGCCCGCCCCUCCUUUCGAUCGAGGUCGAAGCCCCUGCCCUCAAAGCUCUUCAAACGCCUUCUGAUCCCGGUUGGGUGUGCCGCAAGUAAGGAGGUAUGGCACCUCCACUGCACCCGCCGUUCGGACCAGUGCUGCCGCCCAAAUCCGAGCGCUGCGCUCCGGCUGGGUGCCUGGGUGAGCUCCGCUCGUCCCAGCUAGCCCAUCCAGGUUCCCCUUCUCCGUUUUGCCAGGGGAGGCGGGGGGUGCGGUCCCUGGGGUUCGCGGUCCUUGCGCCAUCCACGACAUCAAUCUCAGUGCGGGGGCGUAGUCAGCCCCGCCAACAAUGUCAAUGUGAAGAGCUUCGCCCGUUUACUGGCAGGGCCGGAGGGGUGGGGUG
rnacentral:lncRNA from 1 species